UUGAAAAAUUAGACUUUACGU
rnacentral:piRNA from 1 species